rnacentral:rRNA from 1 species
AUUGAACGCUGGCGGCAUGCCUUACACAUGCAAGUCGAACGGCAGCACGGGGCAACCUGGUGGCGAGUGGCGAACGGGUGAGUAAUGUAUCGGAACGUACCAUUGAGUGGGGGAUAACGUAGCGAAAGUUACGCUAAUACCGCAUAUUCUCUCCGGAGGAAAGCAGGGGACCGCAAGGCCUUGCGCUCUUUGAGCGGCCGAUAUCAGAUUAGCUAGUUGGUGAGGUAAAGGCUCACCAAGGCGACGAUCUGUAGCGGGUCUGAGAGGAUGAUCCGCCACACUGGAACUGAGGAACGGUCCAGACUCCUACGGGAGGCAGCAGUGGGGAAUUUUGGACAAUGGGGGCAACCCUGAUCCAGCCAUGCCGCGUGAGUGAAGAAGGCCUUCGGGUUGUAAAGCUCUUUCGGCCGGGAAAAAAUCGCAUGGGCUAAUACCCUGUGUGGAUGAUGGUACCGGAAUAAGAAGCACCGGCUAACUACGUGCCAGCAGCCGCCGUAA